UACGAAGGGGGCUAGCGUUACUCGGAAUUACUGGGCGUAAAGGGCGCGUAGGCGGCGCUCCAAGUUAGGCGUGAAAGUCCUGGGCUCAACCUGGGGACUGCGCUUGAUACGGCUAGGCUAGAGGAUGGAAGAGGGUCGCGGAAUUCCCAGUGUAGAGGUGAAAUUCGUAGAUAUUGGGAAGAACACCGGUGGCGAAGGCGGCGACCUGGUCCAUUACUGACGCUGAGGCGCGACAGCGUGGGGAGCAAACAGG
rnacentral:rRNA from 1 species